CAAGCCACAGGGACCCCCGGGCUGGAAUGCCCCAGGCCCACAUGCCACUGCCUGUUUCCGACCACACUGCUUGCGAGAUCCUGAUUGGACUUUGGGACUUACAACAUUGGCUCCCUGAUUCUAGAGCCUUAACCUUCGGACAGGAACUGGUAGUUGGUCACCGGCUUGCCAAAAGCAGAUCAUAGGACUUCUUAGCCUUCAUAAUUACUUGCAGUCAUACUAUUUAGGGUGAGUCCCUAAUCCAUCUGACUGACUUCCUUAUAAGAAGACAAUAUGAUGUGAAGAUGCAGGAGAAGAUGAUCAUGUGGCAAUGGAAACAGUAGAGACUGGAGAAAUAUAUCUACGAGCCAAGGAAUGCUAAUGUGGCCAUCAAACACCAUUACUUAGAAGAGGUAUUCAAAGGUUCCACUGUUUUGAGAGGGAG